GAUGAACGCUGGCGGCGUGCCUAAUACAUGCAAGUCGAGCGAACGGACGAGAAGCUUGCUUCUCUGAUGUUAGCGGCGGACGGGUGAGUAACACGUGGAUAACCUACCUAUAAGACUGGGAUAACUUCGGGAAACCGUAGCUAAUACCGGAUAAUAUUUUGAACCGCAUGGUUCAAAAGUGAAAGACGGUCUUGCUGUCACUUAUAGAUGGAUCCGCGCUGCAUUAGCUAGUUGGUAGGGUAACGGCUUACCAAGGCAACGAUGCAUAGCCGACCUGAGAGGGUGAUCGGCCACACUGGAACCGAGACACGGUCCAGACUCCUACGGGAGGCAGCAGUAGGGAAUCUUCCGCAAUGGGCGAAAGCCUGACGGAGCAACGCCGCGUGAGUGAUGAAGGUCUUCGGAUCGUAAAACUCUGUUAUUAGGGAAGAACAUAUGUGUAAGUAACUGUGCACAUCUCGACGGUACCUAAUCAGAAAGCCACGGCUAACUACGUG
rnacentral:rRNA from 1 species